UACAGAGGGGGCAAGCGUUAUUCGGAAUUAUUGGGCGUAAAGGGCGCGUAGGCGGCUUUGCAAGUGACGGGUGAAAUCCCUCGGCUUAACCGAGGAACUGCCUGUCAAACUGCAUGGCUUGAGACCGGGAGAGGUGAGUGGAAUUCCCAGUGUAGCGGUGAAAUGCGUAGAUAUUGGGAGGAACACCAGUGGCGAAGGCGGCUCACUGGACCGGAACUGACGCUGAUGCGCGAAAGCGUGGGGAGCAAACGGG
rnacentral:rRNA from 1 species